GAUGAACGCUGACAGAAUGCUUAACACAUGCAAGUCAACUUGAAUUUGGGUUUUUAACUUAGAUUUGGGUGGCGGACGGGUGAGUAACGCGUAAAGAACUUGCCUCACAGCUAGGGACAACAUUUAGAAAUGAAUGCUAAUACCUAAUAUUAUGAUAAUAGGGCAUCCUAUAAUUAUGAAAGCUAUAUGCGCUGUGAGAGAGCUUUGCGUCCCAUUAGCUAGUUGGAGAGGUAACGGCUCACCAAGGCGAUGAUGGGUAGCCGGCCUGAGAGGGUGAUCGGCCACAAGGGGACUGAGACACGGCCCUUACUCCUACGGGAGGCAGCAGUGGGGAAUAUUGGACAAUGGACCGAGAGUCUGAUCCAGCAAUUCUGUGUGCACGAUGAAGUUUUUCGGAAUGUAAAGUGCUUUCAGUUGGGAAGAAAGAAAUGACGGUACCAACAGAAGAAGUGACGGCUAAAUACGUGCCAGCAGCCGCGGUAAUACGUAUGUCACGAGCGUUAUCCGGAUUUAUUGGGCGUAAAGCGCGUCUAGGUGGUUAUAUAAGUCUGAUGUGAAAAUGCAGGGCUCAACUCUGUAUUGCGUUGGAAACUGUAUAACUAGAGUACUGGAGAGGUAAGCGGAACUACAAGUGUAGAGGUGAAAUUCGUAGAUAUUUGUAGGAAUGCCGAUGGGGAAGCCAGCUUACUGGACAGAUACUGACGCUGAAGCGCGAAAGCGUGGGUAGCAAACAGG
rnacentral:rRNA from 1 species